CACUGCACUCAAAACCAGGAGGCUCUGGUAUAUUGAAGGAGUACGAACAAACAAAGAGUCUGUCUGACAAGACAUGAAGGAAGCUGGUAAACAUCCUUGUGGCUGAUACGGUAUAGACGCAUGGGAGGAUUCCACCAGUCAGUAUCUUUGUAAGCUAUGCUCUUGGAAUCAUUACUCUUUUCCCCAAUUUGAAGGAUACGUUCUCACCGACUGGUUAUGAAUAGUUCUACGAUCCACGCAGUGGCCAGGGUUACAUUGCCUACAGACUGAAAACAACUGAGCAGCUGUCAGGUGAUGAAUGCACAGAAGCUGCAUCCAUGAUAAAGCAAUCAAUGGACGCACAAGUUAUUAAGGAUAAAAUGAAGACAACAUUCAAGUACAGACAGGAUUUGAUGCAUGAUCCAGACAAAUCUUCACUCAUCCUUGAUUACUUUCCCCGAUUUUUGGAUACAAAGGCUUGAUUGACCAAGACUUAACUAUGCUUUUUGGAGAUGACAUUUCAAGCAAGUUGCCCAACAUUCUACAAGCCAAGAAUAAUUAUUGACUGCAAAAACCUGCAUUAUGGUGCACAUGUGGAUGACCUUUUGUCUGCUCUGGAGGAGUCUGAUUAUGGAUGGGACGGUGAUGUGGCUACUAUUUUCUUGCUCCAUCUCUUGCCUCAAACUGUAAAAGGAAGGAAGACUGGGAAAAUCAGUGCUACAAAAGCAGCUGAUCAUGUUCAUCAAGGUGGGGACAAGCAUCAAGGCAUUUCUUGAGCGAGCUGGAUCUACACAGCCCUUCCUCCUUUGUGUUGGAGAAAAGAGGAGUACCAUUCAGACGUUUUACAUCAUCCUGGACCAGGCCAUUCCCUGCAUGGUGCAGACAGCUGUUGCAGCCUUUGAUGAACUCUUUGAGGCACACUUUGUCUUUGCUGUAUCAUAUGAUGAGGCCUUGUGCAACUUCUACACGUUCAUUCAAACAAUGGUGUAUGGAAUAGAUGUGGGCACUGCCAAGGAAAGUCCAAGGGUCAAGGAAAUCCGUGUGAGAAUUCACAACACUGAGGUUUGACUCCCUCUUCCCCCCAACAUCUUGCUCAAAUGUUCUCAUGCUUUUGUUGCAAGGUACACCACAGAAGUUGUUCAACAUUGUUUCAGUAUCUGACAUUAUGCACUAUUUACUCGAAGGGGUUGCACAGUAUGAGUUAAAACUGCUUUUUCAGUACUUUGUUAAAGACUGCAUUUCAUCAGAUAAACUUUCAGAAAGAAUUCAGAGCUUCCACUAUGGGUACAGUGAAAAAAAGAACCGACCAAGUGGAGUUAAAAUUGAUGAUGGCAGCAAGGACCUUGGCCUCAAUGCUAUUUAGUCAUGGUGCCUUCUGCACAAUACCCCCUUGAUAUUUGGAGAUCUAGUUGACAUGGACAAUGAUUACUGGAGACUGAUGCUACUUUUGAUUCAGAUUGUGAGCAUUGCAUUCUCACCAGUUGUAACACAGGGUAUGACUUGUUUUUUUGACGCAUUUAAUUUCUGAUCCUCAUAAAAUUUUUAAGUCCAUAUUUCCUGAAAAAAGAUUGAUUCAAAGCACCAUCUAAUGAUCCAUUAUCCUAGAUGUAUUAGGAAAAUAGGUCUACUUAUACAUAUGUGGUGCAUGCGAUUAGAAGGAAAGCAUAACUUUAAGAAGUCUGUAAAAAACUUAAAAACAUAAUCAGAACAUUAGCCAAGAAACAUCAACAUCAGUUGGCUUUUCAUUGGGAAGUUUUUAUUUUAAAAGAUUUCAGUUUGGUCCUUUUAAUGGAGUCUCUACUUGCACUCUGGAGGGUAAUAAGCUUUUAAGUGAAACUUGCAAUGUACCCACUGUCUCCACUACAACCUGAGUAAAAAGUUAUGGAACUGAAUACCAAGUUGGAAUGUUUGUUUGCUCUUCUGUUGAAAAUGAAAUGCCUGUUUUUAAUAAGAUGAGCAAUAUUAUUGUAAAAGAUGGACAAGCUUUACUUUUGGCCAGUAAUAUGUAAUUACAGUGUGUUUCGAUAAGCAUGUGCAUGCAUUCUGUAUUGAGGAAGUGGGUAAUUUUCACUCUCAUUUGUGUGGAUGAUUUGAUGUACUAUAGACCUUAUGACAGGCAGUUUUCAUAUGACCGUGAAUGAUGAGAGAACUUGCAUUGUUCCCUGUUAUGUUUUUGUUUCAGAUUGGAAUUACCUGUAAAGGUUUUUUAACGCAGUGAAAUGCUGUGUCUUAAUAAGAAUGUUAAAU